rnacentral:rRNA from 1 species
UACGUAGGGGGCAAGCGUUGUCCGGAUUUAUUGGGCGUAAAGAGCGUGUAGGCGGCCGUGUAGGUCCGUUGUGAAAACUCGAGGCUCAACCUCGAGACGUCGAUGGAAACCACACGGCUAGAGUCCGGAAGAGGAGAGUGGAAUUCCUGGUGUAGCGGUGAAAUGCGCAGAUAUCAGGAAGAACACCGAUGGCGAAGGCAGCUCUCUGGGACGGUACUGACGCUGAGACGCGAAAGCGUGGGGAGCGAACAGG